rnacentral:rRNA from 1 species
GCACGAACGCUGGCGGCGUGCUUAACACAUGCAAGUCGAACGAUGAAGCCCUUCGGGGUGGAUUAGUGGCGAACGGGUGAGUAACACGUGGGCAAUCUGCCCUUCACUCUGGGACAAGCCCUGGAAACGGGGUCUAAUACCGGAUAACACCUGCCCGGGCAUCUGGGUGGGUUAAAAGCUCCGGCGGUGAAGGAUGAGCCCGCGGCCUAUCAGCUUGUUGGUGAGGUAGUGGCUCACCAAGGCGACGACGGGUAGCCGGCCUGAGAGGGCGACCGGCCACACUGGGACUGAGACACGGCCCAGACUCCUACGGGAGGCAGCAGUGGGGAAUAUUGCACAAUGGGCGAAAGCCUGAUGCAGCGACGCCGCGUGAGGGAUGACGGCCUUCGGGUUGUAAACCUCUUUCAGCAGGGAAGAAGCGAAAGUGACGGUACCUGCAGAAGAAGCGCCGGCUAACUACGUGCCAGCAGCCGCGGUAAUACGUAGGGCGCAAGCGUUGUCCGGAAUUAUUGGGCGUAAAGAGCUCGUAGGCGGCUUGUCACGUCGGGUGUGAAAGCCCGGGGCUUAACCCCGGGUCUGCAUUCGAUACGGGCUAGCUAGAGUGUGGUAGGGGAGAUCGGAAUUCCUGGUGUAGCGGUGAAAUGCGCAGAUAUCAGGAGGAACACCGGUGGCGAAGGCGGAUCUCUGGGCCAUUACUGACGCUGAGGAGCGAAAGCGUGGGGAGCGAACAGGAUUAGAUACCCUGGUAGUCCACGCCGUAAACGGUGGGAACUAGGUGUUGGCGACAUUCCACGUCGUCGGUGCCGCAGCUACGCAUUAAGUUCCCGCCUGGGGAGUCCGCCNCAGGCUAAACUCAANGNAUUGACGGGGGCCCCNCAACANNGANCUGGGGCUNAUUGACCACNCGAAAACUUNNAGNUUGAUANCCCGAACGNCAAAUGUCCCCCUNGGGCGGUCNGNGGCUGNUNCCCCNNGUCNGAAUNGGUAANCCCCNNCACNUUUUUUNCNAUCCUU